rnacentral:lncRNA from 1 species
UUGGCAGAGGGCAGUAGGCAGUAGGCCCUGGGCUGGGCCUGGCAGACCUGGCUGCUGUCUCCAGGUUCUGCCUAGGGUGCCUGCUAGCCCACUCUCCUCCUCUGAGCCAAUCAUAGAAUAAACAGGGAAGAAAUCAAAAGGUGGCUUAGCACAGCUGGACAGGGAGGCAGAGGACAUAUAGUGCCACUCCAGGGACAGGAAGGAAGACAGUCAAUACCUCUUGCCUGACACCAGGUAGAUCUCAUUGCUAGAGCUCUGGGGGACUGACAUAAUAACCUCUGACCCUCUCAGAGGGACAACAGGGACAAGGUGAGGCAGGGAAAGGCUGGGAGACAAGUCCUGGCACCACCAAGCCAUAUCCCACAAAUAGCAAUGAGAUAAUACAGAAUAGGCCAGAACCAACCCGGAAAGAGACGCACGGUGAAAAUUCAGCACAACCUGAGGGAAAGCUAGGAUCUCUAGCCGUGCGGUGCUUCAUGGACUCUUCCCUGCAGGUACCAGCCAGCCCACCCCAACAAGACGAGGGCCUCCCUGUGGGCCUCUCAGCUAUUUCAGUCCCCUGGAAAAACCUGGGCCCCAGCAAAGGAGCUGAAGCUUAAGGAUGAAGAGUGUGAACGGCUUUGCAAAGUGCGCGCACAGCUGGAGCAGGAGCUGGAGGAGCUGACGGCCAGCCUGUUUGAGGAAGCUCACAAGAUGGUUCGGGAAGC